UUUUUGCGUUAGGGAUUGCAACGGCAUCCUUUUUAUUUUUUUUUAAAAUAAAAAGAUAUAGUGGAAAGCCCGCUCGAAC
rnacentral:sRNA from 1 species